GAUGAACGCUGGCGGCGUGCCUAAUACAUGCAAGUCGAGCGAACAGACGAGGAGCUUGCUCCUCUGACGUUAGCGGCGGACGGGUGAGUAACACGUGCAUAACCUACCUAUAAGACUGGGAUAACUUCGGGAAACCGGAGCUAAUACCGGAUAAUAUAUUCAACCGCAUGGUUCAAUAAUGAAAGACGGGUUUGCUUUCACUUAUAGAUGGAUCCGCGCCGCAUUAGCUAGUUGGUAAGGUAACGGCUUACCAAGGCAACGAUGCGUAGCCGAACUGAGAGGGUGAUCGGCCACACUGGAACGGAGACACGGUCCAGACUCCUAAGGGAGGCAGCAGUAGGGAAUCUUCCGCAAUGGGCGAAAGCCUGACGGAGCAACGCCGCGUGAGUGAUGAAGGUUUUCGGAUCGUAAAGCUCGGUUAUUAGGGAAGUACAAAUGUGUAAGUAAAUAUGCACGUAUUGACGGUACCUAAUCAGAAAGCCACGGCUAACUACGUG
rnacentral:rRNA from 1 species